GACGAACGCUGGCGGCGUGCCUAAUACAUGCAAGUCGAACGAAGAAGGAGGAGCUUGCUUUUUUGGAUGUGUUGCGCACGGGUGAGUAACGCGUAGGUAACCUCCCUGGUUGCGGGGGAUAACUAUUGGAAACGAUGGCUAAUACCGCAUAAUAGUAGAUGUUGCAUGACAUUCACAUAAAAGGUGCAAUUGUAUCACUACCUGCUGGUCCUGCGUUGGUUUAGGUAGUUGGUGGGGUAACGGCUCAACAAGGAGACGAUACAUCGUCGACCAGAGGAGGGGGUCGGCCACACUGGGACUGAGACACGGCCCAGGCUCCUACGGGGAGCAACAGGAAGGAAACGUCGGGAAUGGGGGGAAGGCUGACCGAAGAACGCCGCGGGGGGGGAGAAGGGUCUCGGAUCGGAAAGCUCGGUUGUAAGGGGAGAACGAGAGUUAGAGUGGAAAGUGCACACUGUGACGGUAUCUAAUCAGAAAGGGACGGCUAACUACGUG
rnacentral:rRNA from 1 species